rnacentral:rRNA from 1 species
UACGGAGGGGGCUAGCGUUGUUCGGAAUUACUGGGCGUAAAGCGUGCGCAGGCGGUUUUGUAAGCCAGAUGUGAAAUCCCCGGGCUCAACCUGGGAAUGGCAUUUGGGACUGCAAGGCUGGAGUACGGCAGAGGAGACUGGAAUUCCUGGUGUAGCAGUGAAAUGCGUAGAGAUCAGGAGGAAUACCGAUGGCGAAGGCAGGUCUCUGGGCUGAUACUGACGCUCAUGCACGAAAGCGUGGGGAGCAAACAGG